rnacentral:rRNA from 1 species
UUAAGCGACUAAGCGUACACGGUGGAUGCCCUGGCAGUCAGAGGCGAUGAAGGACGUGCUAAUCUGCGAUAAGCGUCGGUAAGGUGAUAUGAACCGUUAUAACCGGCGAUUUCCGAAUGGGGAAACCCAGUGUGUUUCGACACACUAUCAUUAACUGAAUCCAUAGGUUAAUGAGGCGAACCGGGGGAACUGAAACAUCUAAGUACCCCGAGGAAAAGAAAUCAACCGAGAUUCCCCCAGUAGCGGCGAGCGAACGGGGAGCAGCCCAGAGCCUGAAUCAGUGUGUGUGUUAGUGGAAGCGUCUGGAAAGGCGCGCGAUACAGGGUGACAGCCCCGUACACAAAAAUGCACAUAUUGUGAGCUCGAUGAGUAGGGCGGGACACGUGGUAUCCUGUCUGAAUAUGGGGGGACCAUCCUCCAAGGCUAAAUACUCCUGACUGACCGAUAGUGAACCAGUACCGUGAGGGAAAGGCGAAAAGAACCCCGGCGAGGGGAGUGAAAAAGAACCUGAAACCGUGUACGUACAAGCAGUGGGAGCACGCUUAGGCGUGUGACUGCGUACCUUUUGUAUAAUGGGUCAGCGACUUAUAUUCUGUAGCAAGGUUAACCGAAUAGGGGAGCCGAAGGGAAACCGAGUCUUAACUGGGCGUUAAGUUGCAGGGUAUAGACCCGAAACCCGGUGAUCUAGCCAUGGGCAGGUUGAAGGUUGGGUAACACUAACUGGAGGACCGAACCGACUAAUGUUGAAAAAUUAGCGGAUGACUUGUGGCUGGGGGUGAAAGGCCAAUCAAACCGGGAGAUAGCUGGUUCUCCCCGAAAGCUAUUUAGGUAGCGCCUCGUGAAUUCAUCUCCGGGGGUAGAGCACUGUUUCGGCAAGGGGGUCAUCCCGACUUACCAACCCGAUGCAAACUGCGAAUACCGGAGAAUGUUAUCACGGGAGACACACGGCGGGUGCUAACGUCCGUCGUGAAGAGGGAAACAACCCAGACCGCCAGCUAAGGUCCCAAAGUCAUGGUUAAGUGGGAAACGAUGUGGGAAGGCCCAGACAGCCAGGAUGUUGGCUUAGAAGCAGCCAUCAUUUAAAGAAAGCGUAAUAGCUCACUGGUCGAGUCGGCCUGCGCGGAAGAUGUAACGGGGCUAAACCAUGCACCGAAGCUGCGGCAGCGACGCUUAUGCGUUGUUGGGUAGGGGAGCGUUCUGUAAGCCUGUGAAGGUGUGCUGUGAGGCAUGCUGGAGGUAUCAGAAGUGCGAAUGCUGACAUAAGUAACGAUAAAGCGGGUGAAAAGCCCGCUCGCCGGAAGACCAAGGGUUCCUGUCCAACGUUAAUCGGGGCAGGGUGAGUCGACCCCUAAGGCGAGGCCGAAAGGCGUAGUCGAUGGGAAACAGGUUAAUAUUCCUGUACUUGGUGUUACUGCGAAGGGGGGACGGAGAAGGCUAUGUUGGCCGGGCGACGGUUGUCCCGGUUUAAGCGUGUAGGCUGGUUUUCCAGGCAAAUCCGGAAAAUCAAGGCUGAGGCGUGAUGACGAGGCACUACGGUGCUGAAGCAACAAAUGCCCUGCUUCCAGGAAAAGCCUCUAAGCAUCAGGUAACAUCAAAUCGUACCCCAAACCGACACAGGUGGUCAGGUAGAGAAUACCAAGGCGCUUGAGAGAACUCGGGUGAAGGAACUAGGCAAAAUGGUGCCGUAACUUCGGGAGAAGGCACGCUGAUAUGUAGGUGAAGCGACUUGCUCGUGGAGCUGAAAUCAGUCGAAGAUACCAGCUGGCUGCAACUGUUUAUUAAAAACACAGCACUGUGCAAACACGAAAGUGGACGUAUACGGUGUGACGCCUGCCCGGUGCCGGAAGGUUAAUUGAUGGGGUUAGCGCAAGCGAAGCUCUUGAUCGAAGCCCCGGUAAACGGCGGCCGUAACUAUAACGGUCCUAAGGUAGCGAAAUUCCUUGUCGGGUAAGUUCCGACCUGCACGAAUGGCGUAAUGAUGGCCAGGCUGUCUCCACCCGAGACUCAGUGAAAUUGAACUCGCUGUGAAGAUGCAGUGUACCCGCGGCAAGACGGAAAGACCCCGUGAACCUUUACUAUAGCUUGACACUGAACAUUGAGCCUUGAUGUGUAGGAUAGGUGGGAGGCUUAGAAGUGUGGACGCCAGUCUGCAUGGAGCCGACCUUGAAAUACCACCCUUUAAUGUUUGAUGUUCUAACGUUGACCCGUAAUCCGGGUUGCGGACAGUGUCUGGUGGGUAGUUUGACUGGGGCGGUCUCCUCCUAAAGAGUAACGGAGGAGCACGAAGGUUGGCUAAUCCUGGUCGGACAUCAGGAGGUUAGUGCAAUGGCAUAAGCCAGCUUGACUGCGAGCGUGACGGCGCGAGCAGGUGCGAAAGCAGGUCAUAGUGAUCCGGUGGUUCUGAAUGGAAGGGCCAUCGCUCAACGGAUAAAAGGUACUCCGGGGAUAACAGGCUGAUACCGCCCAAGAGUUCAUAUCGACGGCGGUGUUUGGCACCUCGAUGUCGGCUCAUCACAUCCUGGGGCUGAAGUAGGUCCCAAGGGUAUGGCUGUUCGCCAUUUAAAGUGGUACGCGAGCUGGGUUUAGAACGUCGUGAGACAGUUCGGUCCCUAUCUGCCGUGGGCGCUGGAGAACUGAGGGGGGCUGCUCCUAGUACGAGAGGACCGGAGUGGACGCAUCACUGGUGUUCGGGUUGUCAUGCCAAUGGCACUGCCCGGUAGCUAAAUGCGGAAGAGAUAAGUGCUGAAAGCAUCUAAGCACGAAACUUGCCCCGAGAUGAGUUCUCCCUGACCCCUUAAGAGUCCUGAAGGAACGUUGAAGACGACGACGUUGAUAGGCCGGGUGUGUAAGCGCAGCGAUGCGUUGAGCUAACCGGUACUAAUGAACCGUGAGGCUUAACCUU